CCCUUAGAUGUUCUGGGCCGCACGCGUGCUACACUGAGUGGAUCAGCGGGUCAGGUUGCGCGAAAGCGUUUCCUAAUCUUGAAAUCCGUUCGUGAUGGGGAUUGACGGUUGCAAUUUUCUGUCAUGAACGAGGAAUACCUUGUAAGCGCGAGUCAUCAUCCCGCGCUGAAUACGUCCCUGCCCUUUGUACACACCGCCCGUCGCUCCUACCGAUUGAGUGGUCCGGUGAGGCUUUGGGAUCUGAGCGGAAAGAGCGUUUCGCUCGUUCUGCCCGGAAAACUCAGUCGAACCUUAUCAUUUAGAGGAAGGAGAAGUCGUAACA
rnacentral:rRNA from 1 species